rnacentral:rRNA from 1 species
UGGGGAAUUUUGGACAAUGGGCGAAAGCCUGAUCCAGCAAUGCCGCGUGCAGGAUGAAGGCCUUCGGGUUGUAAACUGCUUUUGUACGGAACGAAACGGUCUUUUCUAAUACAGAAGGCUAAUGACGGUACCGUAAGAAUAAGCACCGGCUAACUACGUGCCAGCAGCCGCGGUAAUACGUAGGGUGCAAGCGUUAAUCGGAAUUACUGGGCGUAAAGCGUGCGCAGGCGGUUAUGUAAGACAGUUGUGAAAUCCCCGGGCUCAACCUGGGAAUUGCAUCUGUGACUGCAUAGCUAGAGUACGGUAGAGGGGGAUGGAAUUCCGCGUGUAGCAGUGAAAUGCGUAGAUAUGCGGAGGAACACCGAUGGCGAAGGCAAUCCCCUGGACCUGUACUGACGCUCAUGCACGAAAGCGUGGGGAGCAAACA